AACGAACGCCGGCGGCAGGCUUAACACAUGCAAGUCGGGCGCCCCGCAAGGGGAGCGGCAGACGGGUGAGUAACGCGUGGGAAUCUACCCAUCUCUACGGAAUAACGCAUGGAAACGUGUGCUAAUACCGUAUACGUCCUUCGGGAGAAAGAUUUAUCGGAGAUGGAUGAGCCCGCGUUGGAUUAGCUAGUUGGUGGGGUAAAGGCCUACCAAGGCGACGAUCCAUAGCUGGUCUGAGAGGAUGAUCAGCCACACUGGGACUGAGACACGGCCCAGACUCCUACGGGAGGCAGCAGUGGGGAAUAUUGGACAAUGGGCGCAAGCCUGAUCCAGCCAUGCCGCGUGAGUGAUGAAGGCCCUAGGGUUGUAAAGCUCUUUCACCGGUGAAGGUAAUGACGGUAACCGGAGAAGAAGCCCCGGCUAACUUCGUGCCAGCCGCCGCCGUAACAC
rnacentral:rRNA from 1 species